rnacentral:rRNA from 1 species
AUUGAACGCUGGCGGCAUGCCUUACACAUGCAAGUCGAACGGUAACGGGCCUUCGGGUGCCGACGAGUGGCGAACGGGUGAGUAAUGCAUCGGAACGUACUUUUCAGUGGGGGAUAAACGUAGCGAAAGUUACGCUAAUACCGCAUAUUCUGUGAGCAGGAAAGCAGGGGAUCGCAAGACCUUGCGCUGAUUGAGCGGCCGAUGUCAGAUUAGCUAGUUGGUGAGGUAAAGGCUCACCAAGGCGACGAUCUGUAGCGGGUCUGAGAGGAUGAUCGCCACACUGGAACUGAGACACGGUCCAGACUCCUACGGGAGGCAGCAGUGGGGAAUUUUGGACAAUGGGGGCAACCCUGAUCCAGCCAUGCCGCGUGAGUGAAGAAGGCC